CCCGGGUUUAUCGUUCGGAGUUUGCUCUCCUAGGCAGAUUGCCCACCACGGCUGACGAGCUCCACCUGCCCGGGUUUAUUGUUCGGAGUUUGCUCUCCUAGGUGAAUUGCCUACCACGGCUAACGAACCUCACCUGCCCGGGUUUGUAAUCGGAGUUUGCUCUCCUAGGUGAACUGCUUUCGCUAACGACCUCCACCUGCCCGGGUUUGUAAUCGGAGUUUGCUCUCCUAGAUGAAUUGCUUUCGCUAACGACCUCCACCUGCCCGGGUUUGUAAUCGGAGUUUGCUCUCCUAGAUGAAUUGCUUUCGCUAACGACCUCCACCUGCCCGGGUUUGUAAUCGGAGUUUGCUCUCCUAGAUGAAUUGCUUUCGCUAACGACCUCCACCUGCCCGGGUUUGUAAUCGGAGUUUGCUCUCCUAGAUGAACUGCUUUCGCUAACGAGCUCCACCUGCCCGGGUUUAUUGUUCGGAGUUUGCUCUCCUAGGUGUAUUACCUAUGACGGCUCACGAGCCCAACCUGCCCGGGUUUAUUGUUCGGAGUUUGCUCUCCUAGGUGUAUUACCUAUGACGGCUCACGAGCCCAACCUGCCCGGGUUUAUUGUUCGGAGUUUGCUCUCCUAGGUGAAUUGCCUACCACGGCUAACGAACCUCACCUGCCCGGGUUUGUUGUUCGGAGUUUGCUCUCCUAGGUGAAUUGCCUACCACGGCUAACGAACCUCACCUGCCCGGGUUUGUUGUUCGGAGUUUGCUCUCCUAGGCAGAUUGCCUACCACGGCUAACGAGCCCCACCUGCCCGGCGUUGUAGCCGAAAGAUCUCCGGC